CUCAUUCUAGUUUCCACAAUCUUUUAUCACUGUGCAAUGGUUAUGUACAACUGAUUCACAUUGCAAGUGAUGAUCUUUACACAAUUUUUGAAACAUUUCAGAGCAAGAUUGAUUUAUUAGAGUAUAUGAUAAGAUCCAUAAAUAAGGUGGCAGUGAAUAUAUCAGCAGAAAAGCCCUUACCAACCAUUUCCGUAAGAAGUUGUGUUGCCUUUGAGGUAUAGCUGUUGCGAAGGAACCCCCGAAUCAUUAAAUUAUAACAGCAGCUAAUAGGCAACAGUCAUUAUCUCCCAUGCUCCCAAACAGCCUGUAUGCUUCAUCUGGCAAUCCCUCUUUACACAGUCCAUUAAUCAUUAUACGAUAUGUGACAACAUUCAGUUUUAAACCAUUGUCUGAGAGUUGAUGAAAUAAUUCCUUGGCAAAUCCGAUAUGCCCAGCUUUGCACAACCCAUCAAUUAGGAUAUUAUAUGGGACAAUAUCAAGUUCCAACCCACUGUUUCGCAUUGCUUGAAAAAGUUUCAAUGCCUCCUCGAUAUGACCUGUUUUGCCUAAACCAUUCAGCAAAAUCAAACAGGUCGCUAUUUCUGGAACUUGUCCAGAAGCAAGCAUCUUUCUAAAAAGUUCACAUGCAGUUGAAACUCUCCCUAACUGAAACAUACUUUGCAAGAGAGUGUUGUAUGUGACAAUAUUCGGGAUUGGUCCCUUUUGAGAUAGUUCACGAAAGAGUUCCAUUGCUUCGUCUAACCUCUUAGCUUUUCAAUAUCCAUUGAUCAUGGUGUUGUAAGUAACUAUAUCAGGUGCACAACCCUUCUCAAUCAUCAAGUUGAAAACUCUUCUAGCUUUAUCCAUUUUGUUCUGCAAGCAAUGACCAUUAACUAAUGUAUUAUAGGUAACAACAUCAGGCUCGAUUUCUCUCUUUAUCAUUGCGUCAACAAUAUCCUCAGCUUCAGAGACCAACCCUUCCUUGCAAUGCGCAUCAACCAAUGUAUUAUAUGUGACAACAUUAGGCUCAAUGCCUUGCUUUCCCAUCAUGUCAACGGUCUCUACAGCUUUAGAAAUCGUUCCUUCCUUGCAAAGAGCAUCAAUCAAUAAAUUAUAUGUGACAAUAUCAAGUGAAAUAUUGUUAUCAACCAUUUCAUUCAAAAGCCUUGUUGCCUCCUCCUGCUGGCCCAAAACACAUACCAUGAAUUAAGCAAGUGUAAGUAAAGAUAUCUGGUCUAAUGCCUUUAACCUUCACUUCGGAGAAGAGAUUGAGAGCCUCCUGUAACAAACUGUUCUUACAAAGGCAGUCAAUGUCAGUGCUAUAUGCUACAUUAUUGGGUUCAUAACCUCUGCUUUCCAUCAGCCUUAGAAACCUAACAGCUCUACCAGUAUUACCGGUCUUACACAACCCCUUAAGCAUUUUACUGUAAACAAUCAAAUUAGGUUGAUACCCUUUUUCAGUCAUUUCAUCGAACAUACAAACGGCCUCAGAAAUGUUACUUUGACUACAAAGCCCAUUAAUCAAAGUUGAAAAGUUACAGCACUAGGUUCAACACCUAACUUCAGCAAUUUCCCCAAAACAGAAAACCCAAAAUCAAUUCGACCUAAUUGACAAAAGCAAUUAAUGAAGAUGCUCAUAGAAUAACUAUCGUGGGAAACUCCCAAUAAUUCGAUCUGUCUAUACUUAGAAACAACAAUGGCAUAAUGUUUCAUCUUAACAAUGGCUCCUAAUAAUUUAGUGAAUUCCACAAUUGAAGGCUUUGGGUACUUUUCAAUCAUCUUAUUGACCAAACUCAAAGCAUGAUCAACAUUAUCGAAGCGGUGGUCUCUUUUUCCCUUUCCUCUAACAGGCAUGGACAUGGGUUUCUUACUUAGGCAUUCGAUGUGGGUAGCAAUGGUGUUAGAAGAAGAAGAAAAAGAGUGGAAAAUAGAAAGAUGGAUUCCAGCAUUAACAACCGAACGAAGAAUAAAAGAAGAAGGGAGCUUACCCAUAUCUUGAAAGCAGAAAUGGCAGCGGCAGUAGCAGAAGUGUAAAUUUUGGGUUGCGAAGUGGUGUUUUGGGAGAGGGUUGGGAGCGUAAUUUGGGUUUUUUUUUUUUAAUGUUAAUAAUAUUUAAUAAAAAAAUUAAACUUUAUUUUGAAAUGCAAUCUUCAAUUAUUAUUAAUAUUAUAAUAUACUUUUGUUAAAUUUAAAUUUAAAUUUUUAGACUAACAUGAAAAAAUAUACUAAGAUUUCAAUACAAUUAAAACUAACUUGAAUUCCACACUUAGAGUUAAAAGAUCUGAGCAGUAUCAUUAGGCAAAUUUUCAAAGAGACUCAACACCAUCCCUAAAUUUCUUCCAAUCCUAGCAAUAGAGUUUGCAACUUUGUCAUGUAGUUAUAAUUAUUUUGUUCAACCUAUAGUUGUAAUUUUGAAUUUAGUAGAACAAAAUAAUAUAAAUUUUACAUGGUGUUCAAUGAUGGUAUUGAUUGGUUAGCAAAAUCAGCUCUAAGGAUAGAGCCAUUUCGAUCUUGGAUGAGCAUGUUGUUUGUCAUCGGUGCAAAGUGGAAUCUAAGGAUGUUAGUCACAUUUUGCUGAAAUGUGCCCGAGUUAACAAAUUCUGAGAUAUUUUAUCAUUUCUUUCGUUAUGCUUUAAUAAGUUUGGUGUCUAAACUUCUGUUUAAUUGGUGGUUGAUGUCUAUUAUGGUUGCCUUGUGGACCAUCUAGAGUGCAAGAAAUGAUUCUAUGUUUAGAGGAAAAGAUUUUAAUUUGGAGUACAUUUUUUUUCUGGUUGAAUUAAGAUCUUUGCAUUGGAUAAAAGUUUUGCCAGAAUGUAUGAAUUUUGUUGAGUCAAUGUGGGGGGAGGGGGUGUCCGCGAGAUUGUGAAAGGAGUAUCUGUAGCCAUCAUACCAAGAGUGUGAUGCGUUGAGAACCUUCAAAUGAAGGCUAGUUAAAGUUUAACGAUGAUGGUUCAACAUUAGGUAAAUUUGGCCCGACGGGAUGUGGAGUGGAUUUUAGAAAUUCAAAGGGUCAUGUCAUUACUAUGUUUUAGGUCCCUAAGGCGUCCAAGAUUCUAAUUUCACUGAAAUUAUGGCGAUUAAGUUAGCUCUUCAUUUCUUCUUAGACUCCCAGUGGAUUAAAGACUAAAAGCUUAUGAUUGACUCCGACUCUAUAGUCGCGCUUACUUGGUGUAUCAAUGAGAAAUCUAGGCCUUUGAAAUAUUGGCACAUUUUUGCAAUCAUUGAUGAGAUUAAGCUGUCCAUUCAUGAGGUACUGUUUAGAAAAAUUGGGACAGAUGUUAAUGGUAUGGCAGAUUCGUUGGCAAAAUUAGGGUGCUUUCAAUCUCAAAUGUUUUUUUGUAGAUUGGUGAUGAGCAUCGUUGAGUUUAAUUGAGAUGAUAAUUUCAUUGUUAUUUCAUCGAAGAAGAUUCACCAAAUCAUUUGCAACGAUUAUUAGACUAUCAAACAACAGUAUUUUGUGCCUAUUUGAUUAAGGUGUGCUGCCAUUUUAAGGUGUGCUGCAGUUGCAAUAAUCAUAACCAAUAAUUCUACAAAAAUAAUUAACUAAGUUUGAUUAAAGAUAAAUACUUUAUUUUACGAUAGUUUUGGUAAUUAAAUAAUGAAAAGAAAAUUUUUUUCUGUUAUGAAAAUAUUUAUCUUGUAUCUGUUUCACUUGAAACAAUUUUAAAAAAAUGAGUUCAAGAAAACUUAUCAAAUACUGUAAAAUGUUUUACAUAAAACCAUUAGGAAAAUAUUACAUUUUUCCGAAAAGCAUACUAUUUUCCGGAAAUCAUUCUCCAGAAAAUGUUUUCAAUCAAACAAACAAACCCCAAAUUUGAUUGAAUUCCACACUUGGAGUUAAAAGUUCUGAGCAGCCGAAAAUUAUACUGAUGCUAUUGUCAUUGCUACAGAUAUUGGUUUUCCUCUAAGUUCUUACCAUUACCACCAACAAGAUUCUCGCUUACAACACAAAGUCAGAACAAUCAACAAUAUUGAAAAUAGACACUAAAACUCAUUCUAGUUUCCAGAAUCUUUUAUCACUGUACAAUGGUUAUGUACAAACUGAUUCACAUUUGCAUGUUAUGAUCUUUACACAAUUUGUGACACAUUUCAGAGCAAGAUUGAUUUAUUAGAGUAUAUGAUAAGAUCCAUAAAUAAGGUGGCAGUGAAUAUAUCUGCAGAAAAGCCCUUACCAACCAUUUCCGUAAGAAGUUGUGUUGCCUUUGAGGUAUAGCUGUUGC
rnacentral:lncRNA from 1 species